GACCUUGGGUUUUAACAAUCGAUCGAAUGAAGUAGAGAUCGAUUAUUCUAGAGUCUCUCAGUCUUGUGUUAGUCUCGGCGCAGUCCAGUCCACCAGGAACGUGGCUGUCUGCCUCUGUAACGAGUUAAAGUUAAGUGUUGUUCUAUCAAGUUGUUGUUUCUUCCUGGUGUACCAUGUGCAAAUUAGACGAAUGCUGUUGUGGCUGUUCACUCCGGACUGGUACCAUAGCAAUUGGCGUCUCCUCAUUGGCAACUUCAAUUGGAGUCAUCAUUGUGAGAGCAAUCAACAUCUCCACUUUCCGACCGAUUUCGCUAAAUGACAAUAUUAUGUAUUAUUAUUUGUGCAUCGGUCAUGCGGUUUUGUCGAUGCUCACCACCGCUCUUGUUCUGUUCUCCACGUGGAAGAAUCGUAUGCCCAGGCUGCUGUUGCCUUGGCUCGUGAUGCAAAUUACAGCGUUGAUUGCUUUUUGUUCGUUCUUGCUCUUUUGGGCUGUUGUGUUCAUAGCAGCAGGUAUUCCAACAGGAAUAGGUAACAUAUUGGGCGCUUGUGCUGUAGGAGCUCUAGGGUUCUACUUCUGGUUAGUGGUUCUCAGUUACUAUCAAGAACUGAAGGUUAAGGCGAUGAUUGAGCAACAGGAAACAGAGAAAGGUGCAGAGCAGUUUCAUGAUUGAUUGAGUCAUUUUUCUCUCAGUGGCAAAUGGAGUAUGCAGGUCAAGAUUUAUUUUUAGGUCUUACGUAUGUGUGCGUUCUUUAUGCCAUAGUGUUAGCUGCUUUUGGUUUCUUUUCGCUCAUUUUCCGAGAUGGAUUGGUCUGUAUCGUUGCGUUUUCAUUUUGUGUUGGUUCUCAUUAAAACUGGUUUCUUUGUUAUUGGUGGGCAACUCUCUCACGUAGUCUCUAUACUGAUAAUGACAAACUAAAACUUGGAUACAAUUUGUUAUUGUGGUUAGACGCAAGUGCAGAAAUUUUUGUUUUUCGUUAUCAACAUCUGGGUUUGUUAUUUGUGUUAGAUAAGUGUUGCCGAUCUAUGGUAGUCAACUGUUAUUCCAGAGAUGAAACGGUUAUUCAGAUGAAAUUCAAACGAUAUUAGUCUAGUCAUGUUAAUUAUCGUCAGAAUUUGAUGGCAUCAGACUGAUUUUUAAAUGAAAGUAGACCUUCAUGUGUGAGUAAUUAAUAAUUAGAUCGAACCUUUUUGUAUUAAUGAAAUUAGAUAAGAUAAGAUAAUCAUUAAAUUUAUCUCGAAUCCCACACAUUUUUCCUUUUAAUAUAUUAAAACUGAAUAAAGAUUCGUGGCGCAGUUGCAUUUCUGUGCUGAAACUAGAACACGCCAUUGUCGUUCAUACCCAGCUAGAGAAUGAAAACAAAAAUUAGAGUCAACCAAUUUUGUUGCGGUUGUUCGCUACAAACUGGUACAAAGGUGGUUGGCGCUUUGUCUUUGAUAUUUCAAAUAAUUGGACUCGUCAUUUUUCUUUUGUCGACUUCAAGCGAUGCGUCUGAUGUUGAAGGCGGAAUAGUCUCCUUUAAAUUUAUCGGACGUAUAAUUUCUACCAUUUUCUUGGUGACCGCAAUCAUUUUGGUUUUGGUAUCCGCUACGAAGAAUAACCGGCCGAUGCUUUUAUUGCCUUGGCUAAUUCUUCAAGUCUUGUCGAUAAUUACAGGCAUCGUCUCUUCAUUAUACAUUGGCAUUUGUCUUUUAAUAGCCGUGCCGAAUAUAUCGGGAUUGAUUUUUAUGACUCUCGGUCUCGGUGCAUCAAUAAUCGGCAUCUACUUUUGGCUGGUGGUUUAUAGCUACUAUCACGAACUGAAGGCAGUAACGAAGAAGCAGCCCAAAGUGGAAGAGAAAACGACCAUCGUGAUUGUUGAAUGCGAAAAACAUUUGCUCACAAUAGACUAGUGUAAGAUUUGUUAACUAUAACCAUCUGUCGGUUACGAAAAGUACAAGUCAGCAUUUUCUUUUUAAAUUUCACAUCUGCCAUUUGUUUUUGAAACGUCGAUCAAAAUUCAAACGUGAAAUUUAACCUUGUCGGCAAUUGCGAUAUAAUUACGCUUUUUUUUUUAAUUUUAUGUUGGUAAAAUAAAAAAAAUAUAAAUGCUUAUCCUGGAAUAUGAUUAGAUAAGUCUCGAACUCAAGCGGAUGCAGACGAACUAUAAACAAAGAAGCGUUAUUUUUUCAAAGGUUAAAACCAGAUAAUAACUUGCAAUCGAGUUGUUUGCUUGCAUGUCGGAAUGCGGAUGAAAUUUCAGCUUGGGCAAGUAUCAAGACAUGCAGUCAAUUUUAUGGCUGUUUCAGUGUUUUACUUCCCCUGAUAAAUCGGAACACGUAUAUUCGCCUAAUUAUUAAUAUGUCUGCUUUUGAUUUUUAGGUAUUUAUACCUGUCUUGCACAUGACACUACAGAAAUGGCGAUUCCAUCGAGUCUUUUUAAUAACGCUCGUUCAGAUUUCGUUCGUUGUUAGAAUAACAAUUCGAAUAAAUUAAAAUAUACAAAAUUCCACUGCAGUGCCUGCUUUGCUCCUGCUCCAAUGCAGUUUUGUUUGAAUACUAUCAGGAAAAAAGUAUCGCUCCAUUUCAAUUGGGAAUUUCCACCGUUAUUUUGUUCACGAGAUAAGCCAGUAUGCCAAAUUCAACUUCAGUACAGCUACCCGGCUUUUAUUUGGCGACACCGAAAUGAAAUAUUGCCGAUUGAAACAAUUUUGCUGCGGCUGCUCACUCCAAACCGGCACUAAAAUAGUCGGUGUCAUAUGUUUGGUAGUUGGAACUAUAGGUUUCAUUUUGGGUAUAGUUGACAGUAUAUCCAAUGCUGUGGCUGUCAAUAAAGAAGCAGAUAUCUUACAACAUGUGAUUUCCCGAACAAAUAAUUCACUAAAUCUUGUUACUCAUAAUUACGCAAUGUCAGGUGCUAAUAAUAUCAUUCGAAUCAUCGGGUCAACCUUGACGAUUGCCACCACGAUUUUCCUAUUGAUCUCGGCUUGGAAAAAUCACAAGCCCAUGUUCCUUUUGCCGUGGAUCAUAUUAGAAGCGAUUACAUUUCUUAUCGUGAUUGGCUACUCGUUAUUCUUCGGCGUAUUUUUAUCCAUUGCUGGAGGCUAUGGAAUUGGAAUAGGUUACCUGAUUGGCUCUAUCGUUGGAGCAGGGCUUUGGCUUUUCUUCUGGUUGGUGGUCUUCAGCUACUACCUGGAACUGAAAGAAGACGCAAAACUACAACAAUUCUCAGAUCGGAACAUGAUUGAUUAUGACUUAGUGGCUUUUAACGACAGUGUGUAUCGAUCGCAUGAGGGCAAAAUUUUUUCUCGAGUUUGAAAGUGAUUGCGUUAUAGAUAAGCGCA